UGGUGUGCUUCAAUUUCCCAUGCUGGGAGAACCUGAGCAGGGUGGGAUCGGUGUUAGAAGGGAAGUGAAUUCAGUGGUGUAAGGACUGCAGUAAUCGUGUGGAGGGUUUGUGUGCGUGCACGCACGGGCAUGCCAGGAGAGGCCUUACUAGGAAGUGAAAAGCCUUGAGAAGAUUGGAUCAUGCAUUAUUUUUACCCUUGCAAAUGGUUCCCAGACGCACGGAGCUCAAGCUGUGAAAAAUACAGAGUGCAAGACCUCGGCGUGCACCGGCUCUUGAAAUGCUGACCGGGAGGCUCAGACUGGACCAUCCAUCUUAAGGAUAAAGCCUCUGUGGGGUUCCAGCUCAGGCUGCAUUGCCUCACGGGGCAUUGGCACAAGCACAGCCCCGUUUUUCCUGAACCUCAUCCCCUCUGUGCCGCUCCAGUGGAAAGAGGCGCACACCUUGGUUCCUCUGAGAUGAAUUUCAGCUUUCUGCGGAAACCUGGCUUCCUGUCAACUUGGCUUCAUCUGCUUAUUAUAUGUAACACAUAACCUCUUUAAUAUUACACAUGGCAUGUUUAACUGCUUAAUUUACUUUGGGAAAUAUUGCCAAAUGCAGCUAUUCUGUUGACAUAUCAUUUGCAUGAUAAACUAGUGUAUUUUAAGCCACAAAUAGGAUGCAUCUGUGAGCUAUCUGUCUACACUUCUACAAGCUAUCUUCACACCUAUAGAUGGGGAAUGUAGCCCCACGUCGUGCCUGGGGAGGGAUUGAUCCUUUCUGCUAGGAGAGCAGAGACUCGUGGCUUGUCUACAGCAGGGAAUCAGACGACAUAGUUAUACUGAAAUAACUUCCUGCGUAGAUGUUCUCUUUGGACUGAAAAUGACUUUUUUUUUUUUUCUUUAAUUCACUGAGAGCUAUUUUUUUUUUUUCUCCCACUAAACUAUUAUUGUUUAGAUACAAUCGGAAAUUACGCUUCUUCCCUAGACAAAAGAGCUAUUCUGGUGUGUCCCCUGCUGUGUGACCCAAGACCCCAAAGAGGCUCGCUGCAAGGAUCCUGGAGCUGGUGGCUCUCCCUGGGCAGACCGGUGGGUGAGAGCAGCUCAAACCAGCCUCUCCUCGAUCCCACAUCCACCCCUUGACCCCUCUCCUGACUUCUUUUGCUGGCAUCCCGCACCUGCCUGCAUGUGAAAGAUGUGUUUUUGCACCUUUCUGAUGUAGCAGAGGUUGGGCUGGUGCCCGCCAGCCACUAACAAGCACGUUCUGCUCCCUCGGUGCCCUGCUCUAUGGGACAGCAUCACCUCCUCGCUCUCCGUCGUAUUAGGUUUGCAGUCACGCAGUGCCCCGUAAAGCUUCAAGGCCUUUGAAAACUGAAGGCUGACAUCUUGAAGUCUAAUUUGACACGUUUCCAACAGGGGAAGCAUUUAUUACAUUAGACAAGUUGAUGCAGCUCUCAGGUUGGGAAUUGCACUUAUUUGCCAUAAUAAUGGUGUAAAGUCCUCUUCCUUUUAUUGUGUUAUCUCUCUUUAAUCAUGCAGAGACGCUCCCCAGUAAUUUUAAUCAAAGGCUCAAGCAUCACUUAUCUGAAGACUAAUGACUCAACUCAAUGAGAGGAGAAACUUUGAAGAGCUCACGAUUGAGCUGGGAGGAGCGAAAAAGGAGAGUUUAUUUGAAACUUUUUUUCUUUCUUCACGUGUGUCAUUAUUUCACCUGAUUUUAGCUGGUGAGCCAUUGUGUGUGCAGUGAGUGGGGAAGAGCCAUGGCUUGCUGCUUUUUCUGAUCAUGCUGCAUUUAGCAACAUGGAUGAGAGAAUGAGGUGUACUUUCACAAGAAGUCCAUCUCCAUUGGAAAAAGAUGAUUUUGUCAAAAGUGUUCUUUUCUGUAGAGAAAAAUGCCGGAUUUUCUGAAUCUUUUCCCUUGUUUGAUGGGAACAUUUGAAAGAUAUUUGUCUUGGAAUGAAUACUUUAAUCUUGAAAUGCCACUUCUAACAAGAAAAGGAAGGUUAUUAUUAUUUUUUUUUUAUCUUUGACUCAAAACAGAAAUUCCAGAAGCCCCAGAAAAUUAUCAUAAAAAACCCAGAGAGGGUAUAAAAGGAUUUGUUCAUGUGAGGUUUAUAAACAUAAACUUUCAAUUUAGUACUUAUUUCUGCUGUUUUCACUGAGGAAGAUCAUUGUCUAUGUUGGAAUUUAACUGCUCUGCUUUAGAUUUCUUUGUGGGCAAAUCCCACGGAGCUCCUGACGCAGAGACCAUCUCCUUCGGCACGACACAAAAGCUCUGCUUGGGUUUUGCUGCGGUGUUGGUCUUUGUAGGUCGAGAUUAUCAAAAAUGGGUGCCCAGCUUGCUCGGAAGCGUGCCUCCAGCUGCCAGGGGCUGGGACCUUUCCAGCAAUCAGGUCUUUUUAGGUUGCCUUGGCUACCGCAAGCAGAAGUGAAUCUUCCCAAAUUGCAGUGCUGUUUGAGUGACUUGCCCAUGUAUAAUAGAGGGCUCCGUAAUGGCCAGCAAACAGCAUCGUCCCUGCUUUCUAGCUAGGAAAAGACAUGCAAGGAGUCAAUGCAUUGCUUGAGGAUCUCAAUGUUGGAAGGAAAUCAGAGAUUUUCAGGGCUCUUUGCAAGCCAGAACAGAGAUCACAAGGCUUGGGGGCCACUUUGGCUGCCUGUCCUGGCAGGACCUCCUGCCUGAGGAGCCUGGAUCUGCCCAGGAAGCUUCUCUGCAAGUCCCUCUUCACUUUCCUGCAGCUCUGCA